CAAAAGUUACCCCGGGGAUAACAGGCUGGUAGGGCCCGCGAGUCCAUAUCUACGGCCCUGUUCGGCACCUCGAUGUCGGCUCAUCUUAUCCUGGGGCUGAAGAAGGUCCCAAGGGUCUGGCUGUUCGCCAGUUAAAAAGGUACGUGAGCUGGGUUCAAACCGUCGUGAGACAGGUUGGUCCCUUUCUACCGCAGGCGUCGAGUCUUGAGGAGAUUUAUCUCUAGUACGAGAGGACCGAGAUGAACGAACCUCUGGUGUACCAGUUGUCGUGCCAACGGCAUCGCUGGGUAGCUAUGUUCGGCUAGGAUAAGCGCUGAAAGCAUCUAAGCGCGAAGCCAACUCCAAGAUGAGGACUCAAAGAUCCCUCCGAGAUGAGGAGGUUGAUAGGCUCCAGAUGUAAGUCCCGCAAGGGAUUCAGUCGAGGAGUACUAAUGAUC
rnacentral:rRNA from 1 species